UAAUGAUGACUUGGCACGUCGAAUGUGG
rnacentral:sRNA from 1 species